GAACAGAGUGACACGAUGACAUAGAUCGAGUGGCAUUUGAUAAAGUUAAAGUGAAAUGACACUAGAGAUAGUGUGAGGUAAAGAACAAAUGUAAUGUAAAGAAUGAUGAAAAUGACAAUGUGUAAAGUAAAGUGGGGCAAUAAGAACAAGAAAUGUAAAGAAUAAGAAUGCUAAAGAUAGCAAAGGUAAAUGAAAAGUAAA
rnacentral:lncRNA from 1 species